rnacentral:rRNA from 1 species
UACGGAGGGGGCUAGCGUUGUUCGGAAUUACUGGGCGUAAAGCGCACGUAGGCGGCUUUGUAAGUUAGAGGUGAAAGCCCGGGGCUCAACUCCGGAAUUGCCUUUAAGACUGCAUCGCUAGAAUUGUGGAGAGGUAAGUGGAAUUCCGAGUGUAGAGGUGAAAUUCGUAGAUAUUCGGAAGAACACCAGUGGCGAAGGCGACUUACUGGACAACUGUUGACGCUGAGGUGCGAAAGCGUGGGGAGCAAACAGG